rnacentral:ncRNA from 1 species
AUGCGGCUAAGACAAACAAGGGCAACCGGAAAAUUGACGCAGCGCGAUAAGGCCUACAUGUCCGGCCUGAAUAUCGCAAGCAAUGGACGCCGAAUGUGCAAGAACACAAGCCGCAACGCACAAGCGGACUACACACUACAUUACUCUAAGUUGAUUAUUCUACUUAGUUGCAUUUCUUUCCGUUCGUACUGAAUUUUGCGUUAAUUUUGUUUUGGUUCAUUGCGUCUACUUUUGGUUCAUUAUGUUGCAGCAACUCUCUUAUGUUCGGUUUCGCAAGCCUUACUUACAUUUAGUUAAAAUUGCAAAUAAACUUUGAAUAGCCAAAUGCCUCGUCAUCUGAUUAGUGACGCGCAUGAAUGGAUCAACAAGAUUCCUACUGUCCCUAUCUACUGUCUAGCGAAACCACAGUCAAGGGAACGGGCUUGUCAAAAUCAGCGGGGAAGGAAGACCCUGUUGAGCUUGACUCUAGUCUGACUCUGUGAAGAGACAUUGAAGGUGUAGCACAGGUGGGAGGCCGGUGGCCGCUUGCGCUGCCGCGCUGACAGUGAAACACCACUACUUUGAUCGUUUCUUUACUUAUUCGGUCAAGCGGAAGGAACGGUCGCUCGCAGUGAACGGAGUGAACGUAUGAGGCUCUAGGCUUACUGUAGGCACAUAUACAGGUAGUUCUCAUAUAACGCGUGCUCAUAUAACGCGUUUUUGCUCCUACGCGAUUUUGAAAUAUUGGGUUGUUUCAUAAGUUCGUUCCGUUUUCUUUAGAAGUAAAUUUUUUUUGUAUGCAGUUGCUGUCAUGCCAAGCAGUAUAUAUCAUUCAAUACCUCUCGAUGUUAUCUGCGAAUUAGUAUAGUUAAAUUUUAAUAUCGCGCUCUUGAGAAGUUUCA